GAUGAACGCUAGCGGCAGGCUUAAUACAUGCAAGUCGAAGGGUAACAUGGUAGCAAUACUGAUGACGACUGGCGCACGGGUGCGUAACACGUAUGCAAUCUACCUUUAACUGGAGCAUAGCCCCCUGAAAGAGGGAUUAAUACUCCAUAAUAUAAUAGAAUGGCAUCAUUUUAUUAUUAAACCUCCGGGGGUUAAAGAUGGGCAUGCGGUGCAUUAGCUAGUUGGUGAGGUAAUGGCUCACCAAGGCUACGAUGCAUAGGGGUUCUGAGAGGAUAUACCCCCACACUGGUACUGAGACACGGACCAGACUCCUACGGGAGGCAGCAGUAAGGAAUAUUGGACAAUGGUGGCAACACUGAUCCAGCCAUGCCGCGUGCAGGAUGACUGCCCUAUGGGUUGU
rnacentral:rRNA from 1 species